rnacentral:lncRNA from 10 species
GAGAGAGGUACCUGUGCCUUGCCGGGAGACGCUUUUGCCAUAAAAUGACCCACUGCAAGUUAAACUGAAAGGUCUUACACCACGAGGGCCUUUGGCUUUGACCUGGCCAAGUCCUGCAGCCUCCUCUCCGCAUAGCUGCCUGACCAGUGCAGGGCCGGGCGAGGGCUGUGCUCACAGCGACGCAGGGAGGGUCGCUGGGGAGCAGCUCGGGCUUAUUUUCCACGCAGCGUCCUGAAGAUGAGCCUCGAUAAAUACAGCACAGCUCGCCCCCAGGAAGCUUGGAAUAAUCAUUAGAAAUUCAUUCCACGUCACUGCUUGGGAAGAAAACAACUUCAUCCCGACCCCCAGAAGCUUCUAUUUGGCCUUGUAGAACAUUAACAAACAUAAAUGUUGUGUUUUC